UACGAAGGGGGCUAGCGUUGUUCGGAUUUACUGGGCGUAAAGCGCACGUAGGCGGAUUGUUAAGUCAGGGGUGAAAUCCUGGAGCUCAACUCCAGAACUGCCUUUGAUACUGGCGAUCUUGAGUCCGGGAGAGGUGAGUGGAACUCCGAGUGUAGAGGUGAAAUUCGUAGAUAUUCGGAAGAACACCAGUGGCGAAGGCGGCUCACUGGCCCGAUACUGACGCUGAGGCACGAAAGCGUGGGGGAGCAAACAGG
rnacentral:rRNA from 1 species